GACAGCCGGCACAGGAGCAGAAAUGACACGCUUUUGCAUUAUCACUGACGAGGAGCGUCACGUGAA
rnacentral:ribozyme from 1 species